AUGCGCAAGGCGAGGCCGCCGCAGCCCCAGCCGCAGCCGUCGCCGGAGAUCCGGUACCGCGGCGUGCGGAAGCGCCCCUCGGGCCGCUACGCCGCCGAGAUCCGGGACCCGGCCAAGAAGACGCCGAUCUGGCUGGGCACCUUCGACUGCGCCGAGGACGCCGCCCGCGCCUACGACUCCGCCGCCCGAUCCCUCCGCGGGCCCACCGCCCGCACCAACUUCCCGCCCUCCUCCGCCACGCAGCCGCCGCCGCGCCCUCCCCCUCCCCCCGCGGCGGCCGCCGCGACCGCCACGACCAGCCAGAGCAGCACCGUCGAGUCCUGGAGCGGCGGCGGGCCCCGCGCCCCCGCCAGGGCCCGCAGCGCCGCCCGAGCGGGCACGGCCGAGGAAGGGGAGGAGGACUGCCGCAGCUACUGCGGCUCCUCCUCCUCCGUCCUCCUCUGCGAGGAUGGGGACGACGCGGCCGCCUCCCGCACCCCGCUGCCCUUCGAUCUGAACAUGCCGCCCCCACAGGACGGGGCCCUUGACGCCGCGGCCGCCGAGGCUGAUCAGAUGACCUGCCGCUACGACACGCUGCUCCGCCUCUAG
rnacentral:rRNA from 1 species